CGUGUUCCUGCAUUGCCCAUGAGAGCAGAGGUGAUGGUGCUGGCAUUCGUCAAUAUCUGUGAGCAAAACAGCACAGAGAAACUGGAGUCCAUCAUUUGCAACAGAGAAGACAGAGCAAUUUCUGACUUAUAACUGAGCGAGACCUUUCAACUCCAAUGGGGAGACUCAGAGUGGAGGGCUGCGUUGAAAGCCAAGCAAAGCCAACAGCCCUUCCCCACUCGAUCUCUGCACUGUGCUAUUUCCUCCCCCUGGAACAAAAGCCUUGAUGGGAGUGUGGUGGUACCUACCCAGGCACUGGCCAUUCCAGCCUCGGAAGCCUUCUGUGCAGGGGAUGCACUGUAGAAAUGCACCAGCCAAAUUGGAGAUUGUCAUUAGACCGGCCCUACAUACAGCUGGCUUGGUGUGGAGCAGCAGCCCAAGGCAACACCUGAGAAUUUGCCUCGGCACUUCCUGCUUGUCCUCCAGCUACGCAUCUGGGGCCACCUGCCUUGGGACAUUUUCAUGUGACAAAGUAAGGGCAAAUGAGAUAAUGUCUGAAAAUGACGAUCGGCUCCUUGGAGACACAGCUCUGUUUGAAAGCAGCUCACUCACUCCGUGGCAUCUGAGACAAGCGGCGGGGAGCCAGGGACCUGGGGACCUUUGGUUCUGGUCCACCACGGAAUGAGAAAACAGUCACAUCAUUUGGGCCUCUUUUUCUUUCCAAGCCUUUUGGAGGAGAUAGAAUGACGCACACCCGGAGCACCCUGGUGACAUACUAACAAGCGUUAAAUAAUUUGCAUAGAUUAUUACUGACCACUC